rnacentral:rRNA from 1 species
UACGUAGGGGGCUAGCGUUGUCCGGAUUUAUUGGGCGUAAAGAGCGUGUAGGCGGCCAGACAGGUCAGCUGUGAAAACUCGAGGCUCAACCUCGAGACGUCGGUUGAAACCGUCUGGCUAGAGUCCGGAAGAGGAGAGUGGAAUUCCCGGUGUAGCGGUGAAAUGUGUAGAGAUCGGGGGGAACACCGGUGGCGAAGGCGGGUCUCUGGGCAUCUCCUGACGCUGAGGCGCGAAAGCGUGGGGAGCAAACGGG